AGAACGAACGCUGGCGGCAUGCCUAAUACAUGCAAGUCGAACGAACACUCUGACUUCGGUUGGGGUGUUAGUGGCGCACGGGUGCGUAACGCGUGGGAAUCUGCCCUUGGGUUCGGAAUAACAGUUGGAAACGACUGCUAAUACCGGAUGAUAUCGAAAGAUCAAAGAUUUAUCGCCCAGGGAUGAGCCCGCGUAGGAUUAGCUAGUUGGUGGGGUAAAGGCUCACCAAGGCGACGAUCCUUAGCUGGUCUGAGAGGAUGAUCAGCCACACUGGGACUGAGACACGGCCCAGACUCCUACGGGAGCAGCAGUAGGGAAUAGUGGACAAGUGGGCGCAAGCCUAGACUCCAGCAAUCGCCGCGUGAGUGAUGAAGGUCCGUUAGGGUUAGUAAGCUUACGUUUACCGAGUAU
rnacentral:rRNA from 1 species